rnacentral:rRNA from 1 species
UACAGAGGGUGCGAGCGUUAAUCGGAAUUACUGGGCGUAAAGCGCGCGUAGGCGGCUUUGCAAGUCGGGUGUGAAAUCCCCAGGCUUAACCUGGGAACUGCAUUCGAGACUGCAUUGCUAGAGUAUGGGAGAGGGAAGUGGAAUUUCCGGUGUAGCGGUGAAAUGCGUAGAGAUCGUAAGGAAGGCCAGUGGCGAAGGCGAGUUCCUGGACAGUUACUGACGCUGAGGCACGAAGGCCAGGGAGCAAACGGG